GCCUCUUUAGCUCAGUGGUAGAGCACUGGUCUCGUAAACCAGGGGUCGUGACUUCAAACCUCACAGGAGGCA
rnacentral:tRNA from 1 species